UCUUGUCUCUCACCCUGACCUUUGUUGUAAGUCUUCAUUUUUCUAAGGUCAAGUAUAUGCAUUCGACCUUUGUUGUAAGUCUUCAUGUUUUCUAAGGUCAAAUAUAUGCAUUCUGGGUUACUGGUGGCUGUGGACAAAGAAAUGACCAUUUUCCUCCACAGUCCAGUAUGACGGAGAAAUUUAUUUAUGGUGCAUUACUUGAAAUGUAUUUAGCUAGUUGUUAAGCCAUGCCUUAAAGUGUGUUUUAAGAAUUAGGAAGUGUUUACCUACUCCAUCUUGACCGUCUGAGGGCAGUGUCCCCUAAUACUUGCUAGAAGUGAAAUGCCUGGUCAUUGCAUACUGUCUGCACUGCACCCACCCUCUCAGGAUAUCAUUCAAAACUCACAGAUGUCAAAGGGAGCCUUUCCACACAUCUUAACUGCAUCUUGGACUUGGGCAUAUUGAGCUCACUCUCUGGGCCAGAGUGUCUAUUGGUUUAAGUCUUCAAUGGCAUUGAAUCCAGCUUGGGGCAUUCCACAUGAUCGGUUUGUAGACCUGAAACUAGAUGGGACCAUGGCUGACCUUUGGGUCAGACCUCUCAUAUACAGCCAAUACAGACUGCUACAAAGUGCUUUUUGCAUGAAGCAGUUGAUGCUUGGCUGUAGCAUGACUUUGCAAAGACUAUCCUAUCAUGUUUUAAAGACUUCAAGUCAUAGUGAAUCUAUAGCAGUCUUUGAUAAAUUGUUACAUAGGCAAUCAAACUCAGUGUUAAAAACAUCCAUCUUAGACUCAAUAUGUUUAAGUUCAUAUUCCACCAGAUACGUAGUUACUCAGAAUAAACUGUCCUUCGGUUAAUUUUGUUUUUGCUGUUAAUGCUAAUUAUAUGUUGUGCAGCACAGCAAACCACCAGGCCUUCCUGUAGGUGUAAUUCCAUCUCAUUCUGAAACAAAGCUUUGUGUCUGGAGUUCAAAACAGGUGUUUUGGGUAGGAAGGGAUGAGAAAUUCAAUGGAAGAAGCAUCACUGGGAAAGGAAAUAUGAGGCUUCUAGAAGGGGCAGACCCUUCCUAGAUUUCCUUCUCUGUACUUAAGGUGCAUACAGUGGGGAUGAUGGAAAAAACAUGGAAGACGACAGAAUGAUGGUGGUUUUUAUCAGCUAAGAACCUGAUAUCAUCCUUAUGCUUUACAUAGGUUAGUUGUGGGCAACUGAACAGUGGCAUGGCUAUGUUUCAACCCACGUACAUAUGAGAUCACAUAGGACACAAGGUACAUUUAUAUAAAGACAUACCUCAAACAUAGUCCUUCCUGUUUUGCAUGGAGUAGGUACAUGAGCACUGCACCGAUAUAAGUUCCUCUUUAAACUGUGAGGGAAAGUGUUGUAAUGUUAUUUCUCCUAGUGGGAAAUGGCAGAAUAUUUUGAUUUGGACAACAAAAGUGGUAAAGUAAUAAGGCAGUACCUCUUGUUACUUUUCUGGCAACAAAAACAUUAGGUGCCGAAGGUUCUAGAUCAGUGUCAAAUAAUCAGGAAAAAGAAAAAGGAUAAUUUUGGCAGAGCAGUGUAAAAAACCUAAAGGCAAUUAUGAUCAGCACAGUAAUCCUGAUAUGUUAAGAGUUGUUGACCCUGAACCUGUUAUCAGCUUAAAGCAUUACAUGUAGAUGAUUCUUCUUUCAUAUUUUGCAGAUGAUUGGUGCUGAGAAAGCUGGACAUUGGCAGCAGAAGUACAGUGGUAAAUACAAUACAUUCCAACACACACAUUUAAACACCAGUGUGUCAAAUGAGUGUUGCUGGUUGUUUAGGCACUAGUAACAGGCUUUGGGCACUAAAGGUGAUUCUGAACACACUGGAGAACAAUUUUGGAAGUAGAAAAAGAUUGCUGGAAAUUUGAUAUCUGGUGGGUGGGAAGUUGGCUCAAGCCUUUGUCUUUCCUUCCCAUGUUUUUAAAGAUUUUAUAUCAUGUGAAAACACUUGCAAUAUUGAACGGAAAUCAGAAAAAUCUGGUUUGGGCUGGUACAGGGCAGUGCUGAGGGAGCUGUGUCCAGACCAGUCACAAAUUACACCUAGUCCCUGAGCUUCUCAUUAAAACCCACUGGAGCUCGCCACUGUUGCUGAUUCCUCCCUGAGGAGCCUUCCAGCUAUUGCUUGUUUUCACAGGAGCUUUUUCUGUCUGCUCCCUUGCCUUGGCCAGGCUCAAACCUAGAAAUUCUUGCCUGUGUGGGGAAGAGGAAUCUCUACCAAUUCCCCUGCUCAGGCUCCCUGCCUGGCUGAUACCUCAGGAGCACUAACUACAUCAGCAGGCAAGGAAGAGAGGAACAGUACUGCUUCUCAUACUCAGCUUUUCUUCUCUCUGAUCCAAGUGAUCUGUAAACCCAGGUAGUUGUACAAUUUUCCUCUCUCAGUUUUGCAGGUUUUUUUCACUGUGAGCACUCCUCCUGCAGCCUGUUGUGUGCAUCCUCUGUCUGCGCCCUCUGAAUCCACGUCUGCUGUAACGGAACCACUUCACCCUCAUCUAACGUGUGUCAGGGACCCUCUCUCUUCUUCAGCUCUGGCUGGGGCAAUGUGGAGCUGCCUGCUAUAUGGACAGAGCUUCUAGUUUUUCCCACCAAAGUAGUGCCAUACUCACCAUUUGACCUAAUCUGGAAGACGGGAAAUCAGAUGUGGUAUUGGCUCAGAACCUGAAGAGGUUCAACCUCAUUAACCAGCCAUAGAAAGGAGAAGACUGAAGAAAACCUCAGGUGGUGGUACCUCACAGCAGAUGAGUUUUGUUGUUGUUUGUUUUUUUCUUUUUUCUUUUGUAUUUUUUUUUUUUUAAGAAAGAAGAGAAAAAGAAAAUUAAAGAUGAAAUAUCCUCCUGAAGAACACACUGAAGUGUUUUACACAGAGUUUGUUACCUGCACACAGAAUAGGAUGUGCACACCAAUGUGAACUACUGUGCUCUUGGGACCUCACACCAUCUCUCUUGCAGAUUUUCAUGUUGUCUGAAAGAGAAAGAGAGGAAGGCGGGAGGACUUCUUAGAAAGAGGCCCUUAGCAGCAGAGAGAGCAGGCUCGAACAUGGUGCUGGAGUGAGACAGGAGUGCAAUAAUUCUUCUGUGAUGGUCAUAGAGAGUUUUGAACCAAAAAUUGUGGAAUGGCGUCGUGAGCUGGCCAGAUGGAAAUGUGUCUUCACUCCAUGGUACAUGGAAAAACAAGUUUAUCGUGUUCUGUCUUUAGUCUCAGCCAUUCUUGGCAACAUUGGUCACAUCCUGGAAAGAGCGAAGGGGAGGAAGCGCAGAGGGGAGCCAGUAGGCAAAUGGGUUAUGGAGUUUGGUUUGUCCUCUGCUUAGGGAAGCUGUUCAGCUUUGAAGGAUUAUAUCUGAUUGCUGAGGAAGAGUGUACAAAAUAAUUAUGCUUAUUUUUUUUAAACCUCAUCACUGCUUCUCAGUAUUUUACCACUGUUUCUUCUGCAGUGACAAUAAUCCUUCCCAGAAGAUGGUAUAAUGGUUGCAGCUUGCUCUGUCAUCUACUUAGGUGGUAGGUCGGGCUAACUAAACAGCUGGGAAACAGAACUGCUUUCCUUAUUGGGUCAGAAGGUAAAACACAAUAAACUCUGUUUUCGAUAUGA